rnacentral:lncRNA from 1 species
CUAUUUGCUUUCCCAUUAACAGUCUUGAAUCUCUUCAUUACUUCAUGGGUGUUACAAUCAUCCAACAAAGAAGUCCUGUUCCUUGCCAAAAAGAAAAGAGAUUUGGGACCAACUUGUGUGUAAGUCUCUGUGGUAAGGAUACCCCAACGAUGAUGUCUACAUCUUCCUAAUUUAACCUACAUGAAGAACCUAAUUUCGAUAUUGUUAUCUAUUUGCAUCUUACAGUGCUUUCGUAUUAUGUAAACUCUCAAAUCAUGUAGGAAAGCAACCUGGAAUCUUUGAAAAAAAUUCUCAACUUUAGUUACAUGUUUUCUCUUGUGUUGAUAGGUUGUGAAAAAGAGGGACGUUACAUAGAUUCAUUUUCCCUGAUCGACCUGGUGCUCCUAAUUGCGAGCUCAAUUAUGAGUUUCAUGUUACUUAGAUUCAAGAACUUGGAGCUUCUUUUCCUGUACCAUCUAUCUCGAUGAUGGAAAUAAAAAAGAAAGAGUAAGUCAAGGUGCUAGAGAGAGAUGCUCUGAGUCUAGUGAGAGAAACCUCAUUAGGUGACUCUUUGUAUUUUAGUUUCGUGUUCAAAAUUCAAAAAUUCAAAUUUUGC